rnacentral:rRNA from 1 species
CAAAUUAUCCUCAUAAGUUUGACGAUAAGAGGAACCCUCCCCGGAGGGUGGCACAAAAUCGGAGGCCCCGACUGUUUACUAAAAACACAAUUCAGAGCAAUGAUGAAAAAUCAUAGUAUUCUGGAUGAAAUUUGCCCAAUGCCAUUAACAUAAGAGAGGCUAUGGGUGACUGUAGCUGAUUGAAAGUCUGGUUAAUAGCGGUCUUAACUAUGAGGAUCCAAAGGUAGCAAAAUAAAUUGGCCAUUAAAUGUGGUCUGGUAUCAAUAGUGUAACGAUGGUCUCACUGUCUCUACAACUUGCUCAGUGAAAUUGAAUUACCCGUGCAGAUGCGGGUUGCCUCCAGGUGGACGGGAAGACCCUAUGCAGCU